GGGUGUGUAGCUCAGGUGGUUAGAGCGCAGUCCUGAUAAGACUGAGGUCCCUGGUUCAAGUCCAGGCACACCCACCA
rnacentral:tRNA from 3 species